CCUACGGGUGGCAGCAGUGGGGGAUAUUGCACAAUGGGGGGAACCCUGAUGCAGCGACGCCGCGUGGGUGAAGGUGCGUUUCGGCGCGUAAAGCCCUAUCGGCAGGGAAGCAGGAGGACGGUACCUGACUAAGAAGCCCCGGCUAACUACGUGCCAGCAGCCGCGGUAAUACGGAGGAUGCGAGCGUUAUCCGGAUUUAUUGGGUUUAAAGGGUGCGUAGGCGGGCAUUUAAGCCGGCGGUCAAAUGUCGGGGCUCAACCCCGGCCUGCCGUCGGAACUGGGUGCCUUGAGUGGGCGAGAAGUAUGCGGAAUGCGUGGUGUAGCGGUGAAAUGCAUAGAUAUCACGCAGAACCCCGAUUGCGAAGGCAGCAUACCGGCGCCCUACUGACGCUGAGGCAUGAAAGUGCGGGUAUCGAACAGGAUUAGAUACCCGAGUAGUC
rnacentral:rRNA from 1 species